UACGGAGGGUGCGACCGUUAAUCGGAAUCACUGGGCGUAAAGCGCGCGUAGGCGGUCCGUUAAGUGGGAUGUGAAAUCCCCGGGCUCAACCUGGGAAUUGCAUUUCAAACUGGCGGACUAGAGUGCGGUAGAGGGAGGUAGAAUUUCCUGUGUAGCGGUGAAAUGCGUAGAUAUAGGAAGGAAUACCAGUGGCGAAGGCGGCCUCCUGGAUCGACACUGACGCUGAGGCGCGAAAGCGUGGGGAGCAAACAGG
rnacentral:rRNA from 1 species